GGCACGGUAGCCUAGUGGUUAUAGCGUUGGGCUAGUAACCAAAAGGUUGCAAGUUCAAAUCCCCGAGCUG
rfam:Salmo salar isolate Sally breed double haploid chromosome ssa20, whole genome shotgun sequence.